UGAACCCUGAAUAUAGAUAACCUAGAUGUUAGGAGUAAGCUCACCCUACGACCCGGAAGGAAGCUGAAACAUGAUGCUUGUCGAAUGGCCGUCGUCUUGGAUUGUUACGACUCAUGUGUGGUGAUGAUCGCUCUUCAGUCGCGACGUAGGUAUCACACCCUGUAAAGCGAUUCAAGUAGACUUAGUACGCGGGGACGAGGGGGUGAGACGUUGAUGGUGAAGCUGUUAUGGUAGGACAAUGAAACUUCUAUGUGCUUCUUACUCUGCAAAUAAUUGUAAGAGAGCGAACUCUUCUUCUACCUGCAAAGUGAGUUCACUCUUCUGACACAGAGAUCGGUAUCACAGCGAGAUAUAUCGUGUGGAAAAGUGAAACAUUAAUGAAACAACAACGUGCGUACAAAUUGAAAGAAAGCGGACUUCUUAUUUCCAGCGACAUCCCUUUUGUUGUUACGUUACAUAGAAUGCGCAAGAAUGAUUCAUAGAUGGAAGAAUAAUGCACAGAUAAUGAGAAGCAUCUUCGACAUUAGAAAAUCUGCAUAUUACGCUUGCGAGCGGAGGAAAAUAAACGGUCGUAAUUAUAUGAAACAAAACACGUGGACCGUCUCUGGGAAAGUUUGAGUGAGAAGGGUAGUUAGAUAAAAUCGCACUGCAGACAAGUGGACGUAGUCGAGAGACAAAACAUGUACAGAAGAGAGA